CAGCAGCAGCCGCGGGAAUACGGAGGGUGCAAGCGUUAAUCGGAAUUACUGGGCGUAAAGCGCACGCAGGCGGUCUGACAAGUCAGAUGUGAAAUCCCCGGGCUUAACCUGGGAACUGCAUUUGAAACUGUCAGGCUGGAGUCUUGUAGAGGGGGGUAGAAUUCCAGGUGUAGCGGUGAAAUGCGUAGAGAUCUGGAGGAAUACCGGUGGCGAAGGCGGCCCCCUGGACAAAGACUGACGCUCAGGUGCGAAAGCGUGGGGAGCAAACAGGAUUAGAUACCCGAGUAGUCCCUGUCUCUUAUAC
rnacentral:rRNA from 1 species